AACCUGCCACCAGGUAGCUGGCUGAUUACCCCGAGGAAUGGUGCCAUAUCGAGGGCUCAGUGUUGGUCUCUGCUGCUGGCAAAUUGGGCAGUCAGCAGUGGGCGUAGCCAGAUCAGUCUUGGUAACUGGAAGUCCAUGUUGCUGAGCCCAUGCUUAACCUCCAUCCCUGCCACCAUGGCCACUUUGUUCAUGCGCCCAUUGGGCGAUGACAGGGGUGGCUGGGGAAAGCGGCUGAAUGGUGUUCACAGAACCGUCAUCAAUUCACUUGAUUAUUAAAAUCCUCCUCUGCUGAGGUCACUCUUUGGUGGGCACUUACAUGGGAUACAAAUAUCUUCACAGUUUUUGACCACUCGAUAAGUCCAUCCACACCUCUUCCCCAAAUUUCUUUGUCACCAACUUUCCAAUCAUGUUUCUUCCAAGUCCAUGACCAUCCAGCCAAACCAUUGGCUACAGCCCAUGAAUCAGUAUAUAAAUCACACAUCUGGUCAUUUCUCCUUCCAUGCAAAGUGCACAGUCAGGUGCACUGCUCAAAAUUCUGCCCACUGGGAAGAUUUCCCUUCACCGCAGUCCUUCAGGGAUGUCCUAGAAAGGGGCUGUAGUGCUGCAGCUGUCCCCUUUCAGGUGGUGCUUGCAUAUCAUGCAGAACCAUCUGUGAACCAGGCCCUAGUCUUCUCUUCCUCUGUCAACUGAUCAUAGGGAAUUCCCCAUGAGGCCAUUGGUGCAUGCUGAGGGAGAGAAGGCAGGGUGGCAGGAGUGGAGACCAUGGGCAUUUGAGCCACUUCCUUAUGUAACUUACUUGUGCCUUCAGGACCUGCUCGAGCCCGAUCAUGUAUAUACCACUUCCAUUUGUUGAUGGAAUGCUGCUGUGCACCCACUUUAUGGCUAGAUGGGUCAGAAAGCACCCAGUUCAUGACAGGCAGUUCAGGUUUACAUGGUGAUGGGGAUUCUGCCGUGGCAAGGUUGGGCACAACUAUGAGUAUAAAAUCCCAUUAUGGAGGGAUUCCACUUGGAACUUCCUAAUGGACGGUGGCCACCAUGGUUUGAAUUUAGAUCAGCGUGACUGGCCCUGCUGCUCAUUCAUCAUUUACAAGUGCUCUGCCUCACCGUGUCUUGAUACAAGGCCCAAUUAUUCUCUAGGUUGAUAUAAAUUAUUUGUUAUUGGGGGACAAUGGUUUAGCAACUUAGGGAAAGCUUUAGAAAAUUCUCCUUGAAUGUCCAGAGAGCUUGGACUCUGGGAAAUCUGAUUGGUGAUCAUUGUUGGGAGCAGAUUUGCCUCCUUUCAUUCCCUUACACAUUUUAUCUCUCAGCUAAUAUGGUAACCAGCACUGUUCUCUGCUCAUUAAUUGCCAGGCAUAUCAGGU
rnacentral:lncRNA from 1 species